rnacentral:rRNA from 1 species
CCUACGGGGCGCAGCAGUGGGGAAUAUUGCACAAUGGGGGAAACCCUGAUGCAGCGACGCCGCGUGAGUGAAGAAGUAUUUCGGUAUGUAAAGCUCUAUCAGCAGGAAAGAAAAUGACGGUACCUGACUAAGAAGCCCCGGCUAACUACGUGCCAGCAGCCGCGGUAAUACGUAGGGGGCAAGCGUUAUCCGGAUUUACUGGGUGUAAAGGGAGCGUAGACGGUGAAGCAAGUCUGAAGUGAAAGGCGGGGGCUCAACCCCCGGACUGCUUUGGAAACUGUUUGACUGGAGUGCAGGAGAGGUAA